rnacentral:rRNA from 1 species
GGGCCCGCACAAGCGGUGGAGUAUGUGGUUUAAUUCGAUGCAACGCGAAGAACCUUACCAGGGUUUGACAUCCUGCGAAUCUCUUGGAAACAGGAGAGUGCCUUCGGGAACGCAGUGACAGGUGGUGCAUGGCUGUCGUCAGCUCGUGUCGUGAGAUGUUGGGUUAAGUCCCGCAACGAGCGCAACCCACGUCUUUAGUUGCCAGCAUUUAGUUGGGCACUCUAGAGAGACUGCCGGUGAUAAACCGGAGGAAGGUGUGGAUGACGUCAAGUCAUCAUGCCCCUUACGGGAUGGGCUACACACGUGCUACAAUGGCAGUGACAAUGGGUUAAUCCCCAAAAACUGUCUCAGUUCGGAUUGAGGUCUGAAACUCGACCUCAUGAAGUCGGAAUCGCUAGUAAUCGCGUAAC